GUGGGUUGUAGCCAGUCUUGGGUGUUAUCUUUGGAAGUGGAACAACCUCAGUAACUACAAAAUUCAAACCUCCUACAGAAGGUCCACUACGUUCCAGCGCCUUUUCUACACCCUCAUGUCCACGGACAUAAACGUCGGCUAGGCUGUAAAAAAAACUCAAAACAAGCUUCUUUAGCUAGCAAAAAAAAAAUAAUAUUAACAAGCAAACUGGUGGGAGGAAGAAGAAACAAACGUUUUGAUAGCACCAGAUUCGGUUACGUCUGGGUAAACAAGAGAGCCGAUUGCAGAGAAAUAUUUCUCUAGCUCCGUCUUGAUAACAUCGAGAGGAAGGGAAAUGUCAUCACACGUAACCAGUAUCCUAAGAGAGUCAUAUUAUCAACACAACCAGGCACAAUUUUCUAAUAAUAAAUAAAUAGACAAAAAAUGAAAAGAGCAAUUUACGUGUGUUGUAUCCUAUAGGCUUUGGCUUCUUUCAUCGGGUCAAAGAAAUUCUCAAGGUGAUUUUCGUGAAACGGGUAAGACUGAAUUUGUAAAAUCCGUCCUCCCAUGUCACUUCCAUCAAGCCUCAGCGCCUUUUCUUCAUCUUCUUCAUUAACAUAAAUUAAGGCAUAUCUGUAAAACAAAAGAAAACAAGUAGAUUUUAUAGUUAAGCAGCAGUUAAUUCGAGCGAUCUAAGCUGGAGGAAGAAGCCACAAACCUGCAGAGGGUACCACUACUCUCGUCUAUGGGAACAUGCACAUGUAUUAUGUUUCCACAUGAAGCGAAGUGUUCUCUCAAAGCAUCAUCGACAUCUUCCCUAGGAAGGGAGGUGUCGUAUCCCUCGACCGCAAUUCUGCUAAUGCUAAAUAUUGCAAAGGAUAUUAAUUUAAUUACCGUGAGACAAGAACACAUGAUCUAUCUAAUCAAUUACAGAUCUCAAAAAUAAACGAACCGGCUUUCUCGAAUCUCUGCAUCACAACCGUUCAGUUCCAGACCUUCAACACACUAAUAUACAAAAGAUCUAAUCAGUAAAUUUUACUAAGAAGAAACCCAUUGCUUGAGAAAGCGAUAAGGAUCGAAGAAGGAUUACUUCGAUGGUGGAUUCAUGCAUGGUUUGGUUUUUGAGAGGCAAUAAGAUUUUUUUCGGUUUAGGGUUUUAGGUAGUCUCUUUUUAAUUAUUAUUUUGAUUUGGGACCGUCUUCAGUUUAGGCCUGGACUAGGCCCAUUGAUCAUUCAUGUAACAAGUGUUUGUUAGUUCUAUAUAUUCCUAAUAUUUUUAUUAGCUAAUAUAUAAUUAACUAAUUAAUUUAUUAAUUCCGAUUCUGGAUUCCAGGUCGACCCAAUAAUCUAAUUUAAAUUAUUAUUAUCCUAAGAAUAUAAUUAUUAGAGAUUUUUAAGAUGAGGUUAGAGUGAAGUUCUUAAGGAAAUAUAAAAAUUUGUCUUUUAACUUUUAACUAAAAAGGUAAAAACUGGCUCUUAAAUAAAAUAUUAAUAAUUAAUUUUUAAAUUUUUUAGCUAAAAAUUAAGAGACGAGUUCUUAUAUUUUUUUUAAGAAUCUUAACUUAAGAACUUUCCAAUAAUCAUUACGAGGAUGGUCUCUCGAGUUGCUUAAAUUAAUUAUAAUUAAAAAAAAUAAAAAUUACUUAUUUACCAUGGGACAAGCCUCACACAUGGAAGUCUUGUUUUCUCUCUCAUCUCUAUCUCUCUCGAGUUCUUUGUCUCCUCCGUCGCCCAGACUUUGGAUUGGGAGGCUGAUGAAUCUUUUAGAUCUUCGAGCGAUAUGAGGAGGAACCAGUCGGCGAGUGAUUUUAGAGCGUCGGGAGGUGGCGGUGCUCCGGCGAAGUCGAAGUCUUCGGAGGAUAUUUUAUUCGAGGUCGCAGCUUGAGGCUUCUCCUGCGAAUAAAGAGAGUUUCUUUGCGAAGAGGAUGGCUGAGAAUGAGUCUAAGCCGGAGGGGCUUGGGAGGUAAGUAUGUGGGGUUUGGAUCAAGCCCUGGUCCUGCUCCCAGGAGUAAUUAUCAGGGUGGUGGUGGAGAUGUUUUCUCUGUCAUGUCUGAGGUAAAGUUAAGUUUGAUGCUUUUGAUAGUGAUCAGAUCAGAUUAGGUGUUUAGUUGAGUUAUGUUUUCUUUGUUCUGUCUGAGGUAAAGUUUGAUGCUUUUUUUUAUAGUGAUCAGAUCAGAUCUAAUUUAAAGGUUGAUGCUUUUGAUAGUGAUCAGAUUAGUUUAGAUUGGAUGUUGAGUUGAAUUAUGUUAUGUCUGAGGUAAGUGAUUUGAUCUCUGUCUAUUUGAUCGUGUUCAUUUUACUCUAUAUGCAAAUAGGGGUUUGGAAGAUUGUCUCUUGUUGCCGCAUCAGCUGCGAAUGUUGUUCAGACAGGAACCAUGGAGUUCACUUCCAAGGUACUUUCAUUCUGUUGUGUCCUGUGCUUGAUUGUCCUAGGUUGUUGUAUUCAAUUACCCCUGAAAACCCACAUUUAAUUCGAAGUCAAGACACACUUCUUGGUCGCGAAUCUCUAAUUUCCUUUCUCAUUUCCAUGUUUAGUACUUAUCUGAUUGCGGCUAUAAUGGUUGCUCUCUAAGUCUUAUUUAGCUGCACGGUCGUCUAGUUAAAUCAAUUAAAACUUUGAUUAGAGCGUAAUGAUGGAUGCUCUCUAGGUCUAUGCAUUAGUCUUGUUGAGUGAGGUUAAAUUUAAAAUGAGAAAAAUUUGUUCAUUGCAGGUCAAAGAAGGUGGUUUAGAUCACACGGUGAGUGAGACUGUUAACGUUGUUGCGAGUAAGACAACCGAGAUAGGACAGAGGACAUGGGGGAUCAUGAAAGGAGUAAUGGCAAUUGCUUCACAAAUGGUUGAAGAGUUCACUAAAGAAGAAGCAUCGACCUGGAACCAACAGAAUACAAACGAGGGCAACGGUUACUACCAGAACAAAGGAGCAACAACGAAUAUGGCGAGCAAGGAUCCGAAUCACGAGCAACCUCCUCCUCUGAGUAUCGAAAUCAAAGCCACUCAGGAUCAAUUCUUCGGUAAGUGCCGAUUCUCUUCUCUGCAUAUGAUUACGCUUAGACGAUGAGUUUCUCUGCGAAUUUGUCUGGUGAUUGUGAUGAGAACAUUCUGAUUGCUGUCUUGCUCUUUUGUUCCUCUGCUGUCAAACGAGUAGUAAAUUAUUAUGUUACUGUCUUGCUUGUAUUGACUAAUAACUCAAGCAGUACUAGGCUGAUUUUGUGUGGUGAGUCUCUGAUGAGGUGUGAUGUGAAUCCAAUAACAAUCAUUUUUGUUUCAGCUCAUUCUUAGACAAAUUCAACUUGUUCAAAUCCUGUUUCUCUGCUACACACGCUGCGAUAGCUGAAUCUGCUUCAACCGUUAUAUCAUUCCCCGCCAUCUCAAGAACUUCAAUGGGCGAAGCACACUCCUUAAGAGCCUUCGCUACGGCUAUGGCAACUUCAUCCUCUAGGUUCAGAUAACUCAAGUAAAGCUCCGUCAAGUGUUUGUAGCUUGAAAGACUCUUGCUCAGAGAAACUCCUGCUUCUGCCCCAAACAUGUUAUCCCUCAGAUCAAGCUUCUUCAUAUAAGCACAACACUCGAGCCCUUCAGACAAAGCUAUCCCACCUUCAGACCCAACUUUUGUUGUCUUGUUUUCUUGUAUCACGGACCUAGAGAUUGUCAUGUUUUCUUCUUGUUGUCUUGUUUUCUUUUGCUAGUAUACUGCAGUUUAUGUUUCUUUGUCUUUCUUCCCUCCCCCAUAUGUUUCAUCCUAAAACCUUAAAACUUUAUCUACAGCAAGAAGCCAACAACACAAUGCUAGUUUUAUAACAUGCUUCUUUCAAAUUUAUGUUUAAAAUGUUAUGUUUAAUAAUUUUAUCAAUAAAUUUUAAGUUUAAUAAAAUAAUGUUUAAUAUUUUUUUUCUAAGUUCCAAUAAGAAGAAGACCACCGAAGUUCACAUGUCGAUCUCAUGUAUUUUACAAAUAUUCCUUCAAAUAUCGCAAAUAUGACGGGUGUUCGAACAAGAAUUCGUGAUAGACAAAUGCAUCAACAUCUGAAAGAUGAUUUGGUUGAACAUAUUUGGACAUGAUGAAGACAACAACUAAUCUUGGAUGCUUCUUUCAAAUAAUUCUCGUUUAUUUUAAUAAUUUUUGUUUUCAUAUUUUAUUUAAAAAUCUAUGUUUAAAAUGUUAUCUUUUACUGUGUUUUAUUUAAUAAAAAUAAAUAAAUUUUAAUAAAAAAUAUUUAAUAUUAUUUUAUUUUUAAGAACCCUAAAAUAAGAGAAUUGCAAUGGAAACAUAAAAAUCUCAAGUAUCUUAACUAAGUCUCUUAACCAACUUUAUUCCUUAAAUACUAUUAAAAACAAUUAAGAGACUUUUAAUGGGUAUGUAGAAUAAAGAUGUUAUUUUUAUUUCACAGCUUGGGUAAUGAGUGUUCUGUUUAUAGUAUUUAAAGAAGUUAAAAAGAAACUAUUGCAAUUUUUUAGAGUUAAAUAUUUUCAGAAUUUUCAAAUAAUUUCUUAUACAGGAAAUGUAUAUACAAACAUGAACUAAAAAGAGUAAUCUUAAUUAGAUUUUUAGUAACUUUUCGUUAAGUAAACAACAAUAAUAAAAGAAGAAGAAAAACAAAAAGAGUAAAUAUUCACAAGUAUAAAAAAAAGUCCAAACGUUUAAUUAGAACAGCCUGUGUAGCUAUGUUACACCAAUCUAUUUUAUUAAAUCAUUUUUUGUUUUAUUAUUUUGGACCCCUCUCACUUAGAUCGUUUUUUCAACUUUGAGGAAAACUUCGUUGCUAAGAAGUCAUCGUACGACAUAAAGCGUACGACGUAAUGCGUCUUCUCUGCUCUCCUCUUAUAAACUCCCAUUCAAACACAAACCCAACAUAAAACCUAUUCACUCUCGUCUACAUCUCGUCGAGAGCAAAUGGGGAAGAAGCUAGACGCUCUGCUUGGUCGAAGUUUCAAAACCAACAAGUUCAAGGCUCUUCUCAACUUAGCUCUCUCGAGGCUCUCUAUUCUCAAGAACCAACGCCAAGUCAGAUGCUCUCAAGCCAUCUCUGACGUCACCGAUCUUCUUAAUCUUAACCUCGGCCACUAUGAGAACGCUUACCAUAGAGUCGACCACGUCAUAAAAGAUCAAAACACCUUAGACGUUCUCUUCUUCAUCCAUGGCUACUUCACUCUUUUGCUCGACCGCGUUCACCUCUUGGAACACAACACAACACAUCUACUAAGGUAUUUGACUAUAUUCAAAUGGGGAAUAUGAUGUCACGUUUUAGAGGGAUAUGCAAAUAGUGGAGACACUGAAGCUUGUGAAAGAGUUUUGGAGAAAAUGCUGGAGAGAAUAAAUGGCAUAUCUAACUGGUCAAAACUUGUGAACCAAGAAGAAACCCAGCUAAUUUUGGGAUGAUCUCAAACAUAUAUAUAUGGAGAUCAUUCUCGGGAGACUUGAUGAUGCUGCUAGGCAGUGAGAGAUAUUGGCUUAAAGAAAGAAGCAGGUGUUGGCUAGCUUGAGACUGAUGAUGGGGUUUUAUUAUUCAGGAGAGAAACAUCGUAGAAAAGAGGAAUUACAGAGGUUGAUAGAGCAGAUGGACUAUGUUUGAGAUUGGAUUUUGACCCAUUACAGGGAUAGCUGUGAAUAAAUUUCUGGAAUGUAGAUUUUGAUCUGUCUUGAGUUGCUAAACAUCCACACAAAAACGACAUAACACAUUCAAUAUCCAGACAAAAGAAAAGAAGGGUUGCAUUGCACACAAGUUAAUAUCAUAAAAAGCAUAUGUCUUCUUCUCCUCAGAAAGAGAUUUCUACUCCCUUCAUCUUCUGAUUUCCCUCCCUAGUCUCACUCUUCUUCUUCUUCUGGUAUGCCUCCCUGGUCUUGCUCUUCUUCUCCUUCUUCUUAUUCUUCUUCUUCUGAUUUCUCUCCGUAGUCUUGCUCUUUUUCUUCUGCUGAUUUCCCGCCGUAGUCUCAGUCUUCUUCUGAUUUUCUAUCUGCUUCCUAGCCAUGAUAGUAAAGUUAUCUGAAACAAACAAACAGACGAAUAAAUGAAAGGUUUUACUCUGUUGGAAAAAAACAAAAAAGAAUAAAAGAAUCAAAUUUACGUACGUGGGUUGUAGCCAGUCUUGGGUGUUAUCUUUGGAAGUGGAACAACCUCAGUAACUACAAAAUUCAAACCUCCUACAGAAGGUCCACUACGUUCCAGCGCCUUUUCUACACCCUCAUGUCCACGGACAUAAACGUCGGCUAGGCUGUAAAAAAAACUCAAAACAAGCUUCUUUAGCUAGCAAAAAAAAAAAAAUAUUAACAAGCAAACUGGUGGGAGGAAGAAGAAA
rnacentral:lncRNA from 1 species